GACGAACGCUGGCGGCGUGCCUAAUACAUGCAAGUCGAACGCAGUGGGGACGGGUGAGUAACACGUGGGUAACCUCCCAUCAGAGGGGAUAACACUUGGAAACAGGUGCUAAACCGAUACUGAUGGAUGGACCCGCGGUGCAUUAGCUAGUUGGUGAGGUAACGGCUCACCAAGGCCACGAUGCAUAGCCGCCCGGAGAGGGUGAGCGGCCAGACUGGGAGUGAGACCCGGCCCAGAGGCCUACGGGCGGCAGCAGGAGGGAAUCGUCGGCAAUGGACGAAAGUCUGACCGAGCAACGCCGAGUGCGUGAAGAGGGUUUUCGGAUGGUAAAACUCUGUUGUUAGAGAAGCGGUAUCUAACCAGAAAGCCACGGCUAACUACGUGCCAGCAGCCGCGGAAAAC
rnacentral:rRNA from 1 species